CUCAUCAUAUUCUAUGGCAGUUAUGCUCCUUGCCCCUGCCCCACCAACCGACAGGUUACCAUAAGAACAGGCAUAAACACUUCUGCAUCAUCCCCAUUCCAUUGCCCACUCCUUACCAGAUGCUUGUUCAGUUAGGAAUGGUGGAAGUGUUCUCUCCGGUAACUGGGGAAAAACACUUCCUCAAUCAGCUUAUUUGCCAUGGCAGACCAGAUGUUCAAGAUGCAGCCAAAAAGAAGGCCCAACCAUUCCACAGCAAGCCUCUCACCAGGGGAGGCCACUGUGACACCAGGAGAAAGCCCUCACAGCAUCCGAAGAAGCAUUCCAUCAAAGGCCUCAGACUGGUUGAUGGACCAGUCUCUCCACCCAGCAGCAACAGACCCGCAUGGAGUCAGCAGGAAUCAUGGCCAAUGCCAUUGUCCACCUCUGCAGUUCCCUCUUCCCUCCAUAGAGAGGGAACUGGCCAUCAGCCUCAAGCUGCUGUACCAAUGGUCUUCUUCUAUUUGCCAUGCGACAAGUGUAUGGGUACCCCCCCCCCUUCACAGCCUCUGCCCAACUUACAACUGGUAUGCCUCUCUGGUCAAAGGCAGAGCCACCAACACCACAAAGAUGCCUCUGCCCCAAGACCAUCCCAAGGGAAACUAUCAAGAGCACCCUCUGAGCCUAAACCAUCUACCAAGGUCACGAGAAGAGAACCUACACCAAAUGAGGGAGAAACAUGCAUGAAGUUUCUUGAGGGAAAGAGUCUGGAGGCUGAAAAACAUCUUCCCAGAAGCAAGGUGUCAAAAGGAGUGGUCUAUAAAGAAGUGCCACCUGUAGCAGGGGUCAAAGAAAGUCUCUGCAGGGCCCAGUGGUUCAAAACCAAAAUCCCUGAAGACAAUUCCUGAAGAACCAAAUCCUGUGAAAAAGUGGCCACAAGCUCAAAUCCACAGGAAGCAAAAGGUGAGUGCCCCCUUACCUAGUGCCAGAGGGAAACAGAAAGAGAUCAAAGAUGGCAACUAAGGAGCCCCACAAGCCAAUCCCUAUGAGCCAUUUGGCAUGGCACAUGAUAGAAUCUACAGAUGUCUUCUAUCCACUGGGAAAGUUCAAGCUCCCACCAGCACCACUGAAGAAGCAGCUCCUUCCACUCCAGCAAAGCCACUCCCAGUGGAGUGACCCUUGGGUUUUCUACUGAGAAUCACAAAGAUCUUAGCCUCCACAUCAGGCCCUCAGCCAUCAUUCCAAUCAUUGCCCAAUCCUGUUCCAUCCUCAAAACCUGUUCCAGUCAAAAGACCAGCAGUCAACUCCCUCCCCCAUCUUAUCCCACAUCUAUCAAGGAAAGAACCUUUCCUCCCUACUCUACAAGACCAAUGAGUGGAGACCACAGGAGAACACCUCCAGAAACAGAAGUGGUCUCCUUUCUUGGUCACCCGCACUUGACCCAAACCUGUCAAGGCCCACAAACAACACAGAGUCAUCCACAGCAGUUGUGUGCCAUCAUGUGGAGUCCCCUGCUUUUCCCCAUACAAAGGGGACACCUUCAUCUCAUGAAGAACGCCACCUGAUGACCCAGAAGUCUCUGAGCCAAUUACAGAAGAGCAUUGUCGUUCAUGGCAAGUGAAAAGAAAAAUAGACUUUUGGUUUCUCUACAGGCCGACUUGCACCUUGUAAAUAUCUACAAAAAUACAUAGGUGUGCUCUCUUGUUCUCUCUCUCUCUCUCUCUCACACACACACACACACACACAUGCACACACGAGCACACAAAGACACACGAAGGAUUCUUGUGCUGCAACAAUUAACAAGGGAAUGGUGUAGAAUCUGAAGGCUCUCCUUUAAAAUGAUUCUGCAAUUAUGACAGGAGAGCUGAGCCAUCUCUGUUUCAGACCCUCUCCCCGAUUUAAGCUCUCUCUCUGGUGUUCUCUACAGCCUCCAGCAUCUCAUCAGUUAAGCAACCCAUCUAAGAAGGUACUGGAAGAAUUUCAAUUUCCAUUUUCUUCUCUCAUGCCUGAUCCAAGCACUGGUGUAUCAGAGCCAAAGAUAAUAAAUUAAGGGACUGCUUUGGAUAAGUAUUGUUU
rnacentral:lncRNA from 1 species